CUUGGGUGCUUGCUGCUUCCUUGUGGCUCACCUGAAAUGCAUCAGUGCAUCUCUUGAUUGGACAUAGUACGGCGUGAUAAGUGUCUUCGCCGGCACCUCAUAAGAGGGUGGCCGAUCGGGAGCUCUGGGCUUUCAAACCGUCUUCGGACAACCCCUGACAACUUGACCUCAAAUCGAGUAGGACUACCCGCUGAACUUAA
rnacentral:misc_RNA from 1 species